UACGGAGGAUCCAAGCGUUAUCCGGAUUUAUUGGGUUUAAAGGGUGCGUAGGAGGGCAGGUAAGUCAGUGGUGAAAUCCCCGAGCUUAACUUGGGAACUGCCGUUGAUACUAUCUGUCUUGAAUACCGUGGAGGUGAGCGGAAUAUGUCAUGUAGCGGUGAAAUGCUUAGAUAUGACAUAGAACACCAAUUGCGAAGGCAGCUCGCUACACGAAUAUUGACUCUGAGGCACGAAAGCGUGGGGAUCAAACAGG
rnacentral:rRNA from 1 species